rnacentral:rRNA from 1 species
AGCGAACGCUGGCGGCGUGCUUAACACAUGCAAGUCGAACGUGAAAUGUAGCAAUACAGAGUAAAGUGGCGUACGGGUGAGUAACACGUGGGUAAUCUACCAAAGAGCCUGGAAUAACCGACCGAAAGGUUGGCUAAUACCGGAUAGUUCAAAUGAAAUAUAAUGUUUCGAUUGGGAAAGGGAGCGAGCAAUCGCCUUCACUUUUUGAUGAGCCCGCGUCUGAUUAGCUAGUUGGUAGGGUAAUGGCCUACCAAGGCGACGAUCAGUAGCUGGUCUGAGAGGAUGAUCAGCCACACUGGAACUGAAACACAGUCCAGACUCCUACGGGAGGCAGCAGUGGGGAAUCUUGCGCAAUGGACGAAAGUCUGACGCAGCCACGCCGCGUGAGUGAAGAAGGCCUUCGGGUUGUAAAGCUCUGUCGGAAGGGACAAAAACGUUUAAGGUUAAUAGCCUUAGAUCUUGAUGGUACCUUCAAAGGAAGCACCGGCUAACUUCGUGCCAGCCGCCGCAGUAA